AAUUUGUUUUAAAUAGGAGUUUUACAUUCCCUUUUUAUCAUAUUAUAAUAAUAUAGUUUUUUAAAGGCCCGAAGUUAAUGCCUCUACUGUUGUGGUAAUCCUGACGAAGAUCAAGAAAGCUGAUCACACCAUUUUAUGCUCCCGUUCAAUGCGGGGUCAAACAAAGCAUCCAUUUCCAUCAGCUGUUCAAGCUAACCAAGAUAUUUUCAAUCAAAUAUCGUCAAUAACGUAUCAGACUUCAUUUGUAGAUCGUCGUUUUGAAGUUUCCUUGCAAAAAAAAAAACUGUUGUAUUUUAAAUUAUAAUACCGAAAAACUGAGAACCGAUGUGAGCAAAGGGGAGCAGGGGUAUUAAAGGAAUAUGGAAUUUACCGAAAACUGAAAGGGGAGGCGAGCAAGGAACCGCAAAAUAUGGCGCUUAAGAAAUAAAAAAAACACCAGAAAUCUAGGGAAGACCUUUCACAUCCAAGCUUUGAUAAAACGGAUUUUUAAAAAAAGAAUUAUUACAAGGUGUAUCAGAAUUUCAGUUUUCCGGUCAAGUCCGUAUUCCAUGCUCACCUUUGUUCCUGUAUUCGCAAACAUAACAAGGUUAUCGAUGAGCUCCACCGAUGCCAGAGCUGGACAUUGAUGGUCUUAAAUGGAUUAUCGUAUGAUUGAUCUAUAUUCUCCUACAUUCGGAAAAAUGUAUACGGUCGUGGAACUUCCAUUUAGCAAUCGACAUUUACAAUGACGAAAUAGGUGAAUCAAUUAAUGUUAGGACUGAAUAAGUAGCCAUUUGUUACCCUCUUGUAUUCCAUUGCAUUAAAAUAGUUAUCAAGCAUUUUUACGAAAAUA